rnacentral:rRNA from 1 species
ACCUGAUCCCUUCUCGAACUCAGAAGUGAAACCCGUCAGCGCCAAUGGUAGUGUGGGGCUUCCCCAUGUGAGAGUAGGUCAUCGCCAGGC